CCAUGUAGGUUACACACAGACCAAGACAACUGAGGUUCAGCAGAGAUCCUCCUCUGUGGCAACACAACAGACCACUGUUUCUUCUGUCCCCUCACAUCCCUCAACCACUGGAAAAACUGUCCGUGCCAUGUAUGACUACCCUGCUGCAGACAAUGAUGAAGUGUCCUUCAAGGACGGUGAUGUAAUUGUGAACGUGCAGUCUAUCGAUGAGGGCUGGAUGUAUGGCACUGUGCAGCGUACUGGGAAGACCGGUAUGCUCCCUGCCAACUAUGUGGAAGCCAUCUAAAUACAACUACUGCGCUCUCAAACUCCCUGUGGAUGACGGAGUUUGAUAUCCACUCAGAACAAGCUAUUUUAUGUUUACUAUUGUUAGUCAAGUAGUUCCGCUACUGUUUGUCCUCAUUACUGUUGGGAAAUUUAUUUUGUGCCCAUGUCACAAAGUCUUUUGUGGUUGUGGCAUGAGAAACUGACAAACUAUACAUACCUAUUUAAGUCACAGACAAUUGUAUUUAUCUUUGUUGUUCUAUUCUAACAGUUAAGUAACUGGAGCCCAUUAUUUUUGUAUAUUGCAAUCACACUACAGUCAAAGAAGGCCAUCCUGAAAGUUUUAAAGUUGAAACAUUUGCACAACGAGAGAUGGGCUCACGGUUCACUUUAUACAUGAAAAAGGAAAAUCCGAAAUUCAGUGUUUUAUAAAAACCGAACAUCGGCACUAAGGUUGCCAUAUGAAAAGGAAAAAAAUAAACAUGAAUACGUUGAGGACAGGCCAUCACUUCCUCUAAAGUGAAAAUGCAUUGAUGUUAAAAACAAGCCUCCUCCCUCCCUUGCUGAAGGCUGGCCACUAUUUGUGUUUUGUUUCUUUGAUUCUGUAGGUGUGGGGUUAGAGGAAGAUGUAUACCUUGAAUCAGUAGCUAAUAAAGCACACCACGCUUCUGCAAUCAA